rnacentral:rRNA from 1 species
GAUGAACGCUGGCGGCGUGCCUAAUACAUGCAAGUCGAGCGAACAGACGAGGAGCUUGCUCCUCUGACGUUAGCGGCGGACGGGUGAGUAACACGUGGAUAACCUACCUAUAAGACUGGGAUAACUUCGGGAAACCGGAGCUAAUACCGGAUAAUAUAUUGAACCGCAUGGUUCAAUAGUGUAAGACGGUUUUGCUGUCGAUUAUAGCUGGAUCCGCGCCGCAUUAGCUAGUUGGUAAGGUAACGGCUUACCAAGGCAACGAUGCGUAGCCGACCUGAGAGGGUGAUCAGCCACACUGGAACUGAGACACGGUCCAGACUCCUACGGGAGGCAGCAGUAGGGAAUCUUGCGCAAUGGGCGAAAGCCUGACGGAGCAACGCCGCGUGAGUGAUGAAGGUCUUCGGAUCGUAAAACUCUGUUAUUAGGGAAGAACAAAUGUGUAAGUAACUAUGCACGUCUUGACGGUACCUAAUCAGAAAGCCACGGCUAACUACGUG